CAGCCGCCGCGGUAAUACAGAGGAUGCAAGCGUUGUUCGGAAUUAUUGGGCGUAAAGGGUGCGUAGGCGGUUUGAUAAGUCAUCUGUGAAAUCUAUGGGCUCAACCCAUAGUCUGCAGGCGAAACUGUCGGGCUUGAGUAUUGGAGAGGUGAGUGGAAUUUCCGGUGUAGCGGUGAAAUGCGUAGAUAUCGGAAGGAACACCUGUGGCGAAAGCGGCUCACUGGACAAUUACUGACGCUGAUGCACGAAAGCUAGGGGAGCAAACAGGAUUAGAUACCCCGGUAGUCCCUGUCUCUUAUAC
rnacentral:rRNA from 1 species